UAUAAUAGAACUUGUUCUUAUCUAAGAUCUUGGAGUAGAUCUUGUGCCCUAGGAGUUCUGGAUUGAACUCUUGCUGCCCUAUCAACCUACAUUCGCCUCUAGAGCGAUAUCUAGCGCAGCACGUUGAAGCUGUUCCUUCAACACUUGUGCUGUACACAUUGUAGCAGCAAGGUGGAGUUGCUCCUCCACAAACUUUGUGCUGCUUCAGGUGGUAUCAGAGCCUCGUUGACCCAUACUAGUUCUUGCUGUCCUCUUCGAGAGUAAGUUGCAGCAAGCAAUGGAGCAAUUGGAGAAGAGGAUGGAUGCUGCAGAACAACAAAUCAAAGAGCUGCGUGAAGAUCUUAAUCGGAGAUUUGGUCAGCUGGUUGAGAUGAUAAGAAAGGGUGUCCCCCCUGCUGCCAAUGAAGGAGAUUCAUCUAAAGAAGAAGAUGCUCAACAAGGAAGGAGAGGUAAUCUUGGAGCAAGACCGCCACAACAACGUGCUGUUCAACGUGCUUCAAGAAGGCCAAUUUAUGUUGAAGCUUCUGAAGGUGAAGAAUAUGAUGAUGCCCUUGAAGAAGCAGAUCUCUACGCAUAUCGGAGAGUACCCAACCCUACAUAUGCAAGAGAUACAUACAAGGUGAAAGCUGAGAUCCCAACUUUUAAUGGAAAUGUUGACAUUGAAGGGUGCCUGGAUUGGUUAUAUGAAGUGGAGACUUUCUUUGAGGUCAUGGAGGUUCCGGAAGAUCGUAGAGUUCCUUUGGUCGCAUACAAACUGAAAGGAGGAGCCGGUGCAUGGUGGCAUCGCGUUCAAGAGGAGCGCAGGCUGAGAGGAGAACCUCGUGUUAGAACUUGGCGACAAAUGAAAGGCCUCUUGAAAGGGAGAUUUUUGCCCGCUGAUUAUGACCAGAUCCUAUUUAUCCAAUUUCAAAAUUGUGCUCAAGGAAAUAGGACUGUUUCAGAUUACGCGGAGGAGUUUCUAAGGCUACAAGUGAGGUGCAACCUUGCUGAAACUGAAGAGCAACAAGUUGCAAGGUACAUCAAUGGUCUCAAUGAUGCUAUUCAAGAUCGAUUGAUGAUGCAACAAAUCUGGUCCGUUGAUCAAGCACAAGCUCUAGCCUUAAAGGCCGAGAGGUUUGUGAGGAUGAGAAAGACAACUAAGGCUCCAUAUCCUCCAUAUCCACAUACCGAAGGCUCAUCUAGGAGCCAACCUAAUAGAGUGGAAGAAAAGACCACUCCACCAGAGACAAAACAGCCCAUCUCGAAGCAAACUAGAGGCAAGGGUAAGGCAAAUGAAGGCCCAAAGUGCUAUAAAUGUGGUAAAGAGGGACUCAUAUCCAGCGGUUGCCCACUAAGGAAAUUUGUUAACACGACUAUCCAUGAUGGUGAAGGCGAUGAGGAAGAAUACGAAUCUGAAGAUGUAGACGGACAAGAGGUUUGUCAAGAAGAAGGUGAAGAGGUGGUAUGUGUGAUCCAGCGUCUCCUAUGUUCCACACCACAACCCAAUGACACACAACGGAAGAAAAUAUUUGAGAGCAAAUGCACGGUGAAUGGCAAGGUAUGCAAACUAGUGAUCGAUAGUUGCAGCUGCGAGAAUCUUAUCUCCCAGAAGUUGGUGGACCAUUUAAAGCUUGAAACCCAUGAUCAUCCAAAUCCCUACACUAUUGCAUGGGUCAAAUAAAGGAGUUGUAUGAGGGUGACGAAGACUUUGGCCGAUGUUUGGGUAAAGCACGCAAGGGGCCAACCAUUAGGUGAUGACUAUUUGAUGGAUAUCUCUUCAAAAAUGAUCGUUUGUGCAUUCCAAGAAGUUCUCUACGUGACAAGCUGGUUAGAGAGCUCCAUUCAAGUGAUCUUAGUGGCCAUGUUGGACGGGACAAGACUAUCGCUAACCUGGAAGCUCGCUACUUUUGGCCACAACUAAAGAGAGAUGCUGGAAAGUUCGUUCAACGGUGCCCCGUAUGUCAGACCUGCAAAGGCCAAGUCCAGAACACAGGGUUAUACAUGCCUUUGCCUGUUCCUGUUGCUCCAUGGGAGGACAUUUCUAUGGACUUCGUCUUGGGCUUGCCAAGAACAAGACAAGGAAGUGAUGUUGUAUUUGUGGUCGUGGAUAGAUUCUCUAAGAUGGCUCAUUUCAUCCCAUGCCGCAAGACAACGGAUGCUCAUCAUGUGGCAAACCUAUUCUUUCGAGAAGUGGUCAGACUUCAUGGAGUUCCAAGGUCCAUUGUCUCAGACCGUGAUAGCAAGUUUCUUGCUGCAUUUUGGCUCACUGUGUGGAAGCAAUUCAACACUGAAUUGAAAUUUUCUAGCACUGCUCAUCCACAAACAGAUGGACAAACGGAAGUGGUGAACAAGUUUUUGGGUAAUCUGAUCUGUUGCAUUUGUGGAGAAAGAAAGGGGCAAUGGGAUUUGGCUUUAUCUCUUGCAGAGUUCUCCUACAAUAACUCCAAGCAUAGAUCCACAGGAAGGAGCCCUUUUUCCAUUGUCUACACUAAAGUUCCAACACAUGUGGUGGACCUGGUGAAGCUGCCAUCAAGGGGAAACUCAAAAUCAGCAUUGUCCUUUGCUGAUAAUUACACCGAGUUAUUUGAAGAGAUUCGCGGCGCUUUGGAAGCACAAAAUCAGAAAUAUAAACAACUUGCUGAUUGCAAAAAGAGGCCAAAAUCAUUCCAAAUCGGUGAUAAGGUGAUGGUCUACCUCCGAAAAGAGAGGCUGCCUUUAGGUGUUAAAGGGAAAGUUAGGCAGCGAAGGUAUGGACCCUUCUCUAUCAUGAGGAAGAUAAAUGAUAAUGCUUAUGUGAUAGAUCUUCCAAGUGACAUGGGUAUCUCCAACACUUUCAAUGUUGCGGACUUGACUCUCUACCAUCCAGAAGAAGCGCUCUAUGAAGAUAACUCGAGGGCGAGUUCCAAACAACCAGGGGAGAAUGAUGAGGAACACUAGAUGAGAAGAAAGAAAACACAUGCCAGAUCUGUUUGGCUACUUCUAGAUGCUUCCACUCUAGUGUAGUAUUUCUUUCCUUUUCUUUUCUAUCCUACCUACUGUUUUCUAGAGUCUUCUAGUUGUGAGUAGCUAUGAGUAGAAUGGUGAAACUUACAUAAUGUUUUCUAGAGUAUUCCAGCUAUAAGUAGAAGUAUGUGAAGGCUUCCCAAAGCCCUAUAAAUAGAGGUCCUCGCCUCUACUUUGGAGGCAGACUAUGUACCCCUACCUAUAAUAGAACUUGUUGUUCUUAUCUAAGAUCUUGGAGUAGAUCUUGUGCCCUAGGAGUUCUGGAUUGAACUCUUGCUGCCCUAUCAACCUACAUUCGCCUCUAGAGCGAUAUCGAGCGCAGCACGUUGAAGCUGUUCCUUCAACACUUGUGCUGUACAUAUUGUAGCAGCAAGGUGGAGUUGCUCCUCCACAAACUUUGUGCUGCUUCAAAAGUUAUAGAACUUCUGGUUGCUGAAGAAAGCUGACUAGAAAACCAAGAGUUUUCACAUCCAGAGCAACAUUCUUCCGCCAUAUAACUAAUUAACUAUCCAAUCAGCUAUAAUAACUAACAAAAAAAAUAUUGAGAGUAAAGCUUGUAACGGCCCCGAAUAAUUUAUGAAAGUAGUGAGGUAAGUUUGUUACUGACAAUGUAACAAGAAUAGAAAAACAUAUACAGGACAAAUUAUUGUCACCCCCUACUUCAUACAAGUGCAUCUGUGUUCACUACCCUAAAUCAACUGAAGCAAAUGGUAUUAAAUCAACCAGUAAUAAGUAUGUUAAUAUAGUCGACUAGAAACUAUUACCAGGCAAAAUUUGGGGACACACCAAGAGAUUUGAAAAUAGUAAACAGGAUAUCAAACUCAACAAGAGCACAUUACUCAAGAUGAUGUGCAUUCACCUACUUUUUGUAAUAGAACAUGUAGCCAU
rnacentral:lncRNA from 1 species